CACGCCGUAAACGAUGAAUACUAGGUGUCGGGGGUCGAACCUCGGUGCCGCAGUUAACACAAUAAGUAUUCCGCCUGGGGAGUACGAUCGCAAGAUUAAAACUCAAAGGAAUUGACGGGGGCCCGCACAAGCAGCGGAGCAUGUGGUUUAAUUCGAAGCAACGCGAAGAACCUUACCUAGACUUGACAUCCCCUGCAUAACCCAGAGAUGGGCGAAGUCCUUCGGGACAGGGUGACAGGUGG
rnacentral:rRNA from 1 species